UCAUAUCUGCAACGGAGAGAUGGGAGUUAUUAACACCUUUGCAUAAUGCACAUGUGCCAAACGCAAGGCUUGUGGCUCAAAUCCGGCCCUCACUGCCAUUUUAUGUGGCCCUCCAGAUGUUGGACUACAACUACAACUCCUAUAUUCCUCAUCAUUGGGCUUAUGACUAGCGCUGAUGGGAGUAGGGAUCGUCACAUUUGGAAGGCUGCAAUUUGUUCCGUUUUGUAAGGAGUUUGCAUUUGGAGACAAGGCUUGUGGAUAAAAGCUCUGACUUUAAAAUGACCUGUAACCUUUCCUAGGAGCCCACCGUGGCGCAGCGGUUAAACCCCUUGUGCCGGCAGGACUGACGACUUGAAGGCUGGGUUGCUGACCUGAAGGUUGCCGGUUCGAAUCCAACCCAGGGAGAGCGCGGAUGAGCUCCCUCCAUCAGCUCCAGCUCCAUGCAGGGACAUGAGAAAAGCCUCCCACAAGGAUGGUAAAAAUCUCAAAACAUCCGGGUGUCCCCUGGGCAACAUCCUUGCUAACAGCCAAUUCUCUCACACCAGAAGCAAUUAUUAUUUUUCUCUAUUAUUAUUGGUAUUAUUACAUUUAUUAUUUUUCUCUAUUAUUGUUGUUACUAUUACAUUUAUUUUACUCUAUUUUUAUUUUUAUUAUUAGUACAUUUAUCAUUUCACUCGGAUCUUAAUAUUAUUAUUAUUAUUAUUGCAUUUAUUAUUUUACUCUAUUUAUUAUUACUUGUAUUAUUUUCCUGUGUUGAUGAAAGAAGAUGAAAAUAACAAUUUGAACAGAGUUGGACAGCCUUAUCUUAAAUUUGAGCUUUAUGUAAGUAUUCAAAAACAUUUAACCUACUGAUGCCUCAAUUAAUGUAAUUUUAUUGGUAUCUAUUUUUAUUUCUGAAAUUUACCACCCUCGGCUUAUACUGGAGUCAAUGUUUUCACAGUUUUUUUGUGGUAAAUUGAGGUGCCUCGGCUUAUAUUCGGGUCGCCUUAUACUUAAAAAAUUAGGUGCCUCGGCUUAUAUUCGGGUCAGCUUAUACGGGUAAUAAAAUGAGAGGCAGACAGAUCUGGGAACUACAAUAAUUUGGAAAUCCUCAUCCUUAUGCAAGCUGCACUGAAAUAAACAAAAACUGUGCAACAUUACCACCCUUGCGUAAUACCCGUACUUAAAUAUUUUCAAACAAGACCAGCGCAUAAAAGCUUCCCUUAGAAGUGAUCCAUGGAUUGGAGCGUGAUUGAGAUUCCCUUUAAAAAUAUUUAUUUAUUUAUUUAUUUACAUCACUUUUAUCCCGCCUUUCUCUCCGAGGAGACUCAAAGCGGCUUACAGUAAAUAGGCAAAAAUUCAGUGCCUAAAAACAAUGUAAAAAUAUCAAGACACCAAAUGCCUGAGAAUCACUGCGCCUUUAAAAGACAAAAUGCACUCGCUCCAUGUUUUAUUCAUAAGCCACUUGUUUCAUGCUUCAUUUUUUUAGGGGAUGUUGGAAUCCAGUGCUCUCGUGUUACAGCAUGGGCAGCUAUUGUGGCGCAAUGUCAUCCUCUAUGGAAAACCGUUUGGCAGCGUGGUCUGAAGCCCAAGGACUGCCACUCCGUCUCGUAAUUAUAAAAUCCAGAACAUGCUCAUCAACAGCCUCGAAACCUUGGCAGACGGCACACAGCCUAACCUCAACCAGCCACAGGUUCUCACUUAAAUUCUUGCUCAAGCUGUGAUUUCAUAUCCUUCUGGUGAAAUAGUGGAAUAUGAUCCCUUUGGCACAGUUUUGCUCGGAGAUGGGAGGAUGUUUGGAACCUUGACAGAAAUUCAGCACAAUGGGACUAAAGGAUAUGCCCGAAAACUGUAAUCUUCCAUUAAUGCGGCUGCUGGAUAAAGCGGGAGAAGAACCAGGACUGUAUUCUUCUCUGAGACAGUUUUAUGGACUGAGAAAGGACUGUUCAUGACUGUCGACUUCUUUAAGCUUUUGAUUUCUUUAAAUUAGUAAAGUUCCUAUAUUGUUUGUUCUGCAAA